UACGAAGGGGGCUAGCGUUGCUCGGAAUUACUGGGCGUAAAGGGUGCGUAGGCGGCUUUUUAAGUCGGGGGUGAAAUCCUGGAGCUCAACCCCAGAACUGCCUUUGAUACUGGGGAUCUUGAGUCCGGGAGAGGUGAGUGGAACUGCGAGUGUAGAGGUGAAAUUCGUAGAUAUUCGCAAGAACACCAGUGGCGAAGGCGGCUCACUGGCCCGGUACUGACGCUGAGGCACGAAAGCGUGGGGAGCAAACAGG
rnacentral:rRNA from 1 species